rnacentral:rRNA from 1 species
UACGUAGGGGGCAAGCGUUGUCCGGAAUUAUUGGGCGUAAAGAGCGCGUAGGCGGUCCGAUAAGUCGGCUGUGAAAGUCAAGGGCUCAACCCUUGAAAGCCGGCCGAUACUGUCGGACUAGAGUCCGGAAGAGGCGAGUGGAAUUCCCGGUGUAGCGGUGAAAUGCGCAGAUAUCGGGAGGAACACCGAGGGCGAAGGCAGGUCUCUGGGCCGAUACUGACGCUGAGGAGCGAAAGCGUGGGGAGCGAACAGG